UUGAUUUAAAAUAUUUGUCAAUUCUAAAAUACUUUUCCGUGGCUCGCAAAAAUCUACGUCGAUAUGAUGACAAGCAGAUUAUCUAUAAAUUAAAUACAUAUAUGCAGAGUCGUUUGCGCAUUAUAAAUUAACGAAUCUGCAAGCGUACAUUUUUAACAUUGGAAUGAGCAUUUUGUUUUCAAUUAACACUGAAAAUGCUCAAUUCUGCUAUUUUUAAGUCCCCUAAUAAUAAAACUGAGAACAAAAUAGUGGACAGUUGUGUUAAAAUAGCAAAAAGUGAUUGUUGGCUUUGAAUUUGCAAUUUACUUUCGUGCCAAGAUUAUUGAAUCUGUGCAAGCGUCACAAUCCUACAAUGGAAAUAUUGUAGUACAGCGAAAUUCACGCAAUGUGAAAUGUUUUCCCUUCUACAGUAUCUAGGCGACUUAACAGUCUUUAAGUUUCAUCUACACGACUGUUGGAGCACUACGUAUAGCAAAUUGAUUGUGAAAGCACACCACAUCUGAUGCAAAUCAUGCAAUUAAUGUUGCUUUUGCUGCCGCUGGUUAGUUCUGUAAUUGAAUCUUCUCUGAUAUGCUGGAGUUUUCAAAGAAUAUCUUGGAUAUACGACUUUUAUAUACACGAAUGAAUAUGCAACUUAUUUCAAGGAUAGAGUAAUACUCCUAUUUUAAGUUUAUAAACUUACUAAAUUAUUGUUAAGCUUGCAGAAAUAUGUGUAACAUAAAUGUACAUACAUAAGUAUGUAUUAACUUAGAUAUAGUGCAAUGAAUGCUCGCAACCUGUUGCUACAGAGUAUAAUAGUUUA